CAGCAGCUGGAACUGGAUGGCUAAGAGACUAUGUUUAGAGAUUACACGGUAAUUUGCGCUGAUUUGUAGUUUAAUGAAGAAUCAGAAGUCAAGAAAUAAAGAAAAAAGUUAAUAAAUCGGGGAUUGGGACAUCCUGGACAUGCCAGCGAUGGAUCUAGACCACCACAAAACCUAACUUCCUGUCCCUAGACUACAGAAGCUCUCAGUGCGGAUAUGUGUGAUAAUAUGUAAGAUCGGUAAAAUUGGAAAAUCAGCCAGGUAGCUGGAACUUUUGCAGGCGGGAAAUUUCAAAAAACGUUAUAAUUAAACCUAUAAUUCAUCAAAGCAUCAUGGAAUUUAUCUGUAUAAUUGGUUGCCUAGUUACGCAACACAACAUGUUUUUAUUAUACUUAAUGGAGUGACCCCACAUGAUCCCAUCUACCCCAAUAUGCAUAUAAUUUGUAUUAAAAUAAAAACCAUCGCACACAUUUGUUUAUACAU